rnacentral:lncRNA from 1 species
CAUGGAUAAGUUGAAAUCAAUCAAAGUAUCAUUCCUUCUUACUCUAUGAGUUUUAAGACUUACUGAGAGCUGUGUAGGAAUUUCUGUUCCUGUGCCUGGGAAGAUGGUGCUGUCCAUGAAGCCCCACUAUGCAACAGUCCUGGGUAUCAUUUGCCACUAGUCUUCAGUGGUCAGGUUAGGUCCUGUCUUGAGAUAAAAACUGUUUUUGUCCUGCAUUUGUUGGAAAUGCUAUCACAUGUGCUCUGGCCUGUUUUCACUGUGCAUCUGUACUCAAGGGAAUUGUUAUUGCCAGGUAAAAUGACCAGAUUUAUGACUCAAUUUCCCAUUGUUGUCUUUGCUAUUAUGAAUUCACACACACAUGCACACACAUGCACACACACACACACACACACACACACACACACACCCUACCUUUAGGUAUAUUACUGCUUCUCUGCUGUCAGCCUUAAGACAUUUGGAUUUUCUCUGUGCUUCACAUUUCAAAUCUGAUGAGCCCUUGACACUUCUCAGCUUUUAUUCAGGGCCUUGUGAGAAAAGAACUCCAGCUGUCUUUGCAGAGCCCCUGCAGAACAUGUGCCAAGAGUAUACUGAGAGCAGCUUCAGAUGACAACUUAAAGCAGACUGAAAUGUCUGAUUCCACUGGACAGUAUGCUUCUUUCAAGUAGAAGACUCCAGUUAGCAGUGAAUGAGGCUGAGAGACUGAGCUGGUGCAAUGAGAUUGGUUACAGGGAGGCAAUGCAUCCUUCUUUCUUCUUUUGGGAGAACUGUAACCUGCUAAACAAGGGAACAGACAUCAUUCAGGUACUUUUACAUGGGUAGUAACAUAAGUAACAGUAUUUAUUACUUGAUUUGUUUUUUAAAUGCUCAAAUUUUCAUUCAUAGCACAAUGUCCCAUUAUAAUUUCCAAG